rnacentral:lncRNA from 1 species
UUUAUAGGGAGAAGGAAGUAAGAAAUCUGAAUUGAGUAUGGCUUUCACCUACGGGUGGGCAUAGUAUGGUAUGGUACGGUAUUGAGCCCGUACCACUACCGAUACCGGAAAUUUAAAUAGGUAUGGUACGGUAUGGGAUUAUAGUUUGCCAAAAUUCGUACCGUACCGUACCGUGCCAAAUCAGUAUCAGUACCAUUUCGG